rnacentral:rRNA from 1 species
AUUGAACGCUGGCGGCAUGCCUUACACAUGCAAGUCGAACGGUAACGGGCCUUCGGGUGCCGAUGAGUGGCGAACGGGUGAGUAAUGCAUCGGAACGUACCUUUCAGUGGGGGAUAACGUAGCGAAAGUUACGCUAAUACCGCAUAUUCUGUGAGCAGGAAAGCAGGGGAUCGCAAGACCUUGCGCUGAUUGAGCGGCCGAUGUCAGAUUAGCUAGUUGGUGAGGUAAAGGCUCACCAAGGCGACGAUCUGUAGCGGGUCUGAGAGGAUGAUCCGCCACACUGGAACUGAGACACGGUCCAGACUCCUACGGGAGGCAGCAGUGGGGAAUUUUGGACAAUGGGGGCAACCCUGAUCCAGCCAUGCCGCGUGAGUGAAGAAGGCCUUCGGGUUGUAAAGCUCUUUCGGCCGGGAAGAAAUCGCAUGGGUUAAUACCCUGUGCGGAUGACGGUACCGGCAUAAGAAGCACCGGCUAACUACGUG